GUCUGCAACUCGACUACAUGAAGCUGGAAUCGCUAGUAAUCGCAGAUCAGAAUGCUGCGGUGAAUACGUUCCCGGGUCUUGUACACACCGCCCGUCACACCAUGGGAGUUGGAAAUGCCCGAAGUCAGUGACCCAACCGGAAAGGGGGGAGCUGCCGAAGGCAGGUCUGAUAACUGGGGUGAAGUCGUAACAAGGUAGC
rnacentral:rRNA from 1 species